rnacentral:lncRNA from 1 species
CAGAAAACGACCCGAAAACGAUAAAGAGAACAGGGCCUAAGAUUUUCAAAAUCGGACUUUAGCUAAAUAACUAUGAAUACUGUCCUCAUCUCUUGCUUCAAGUUGUCUAGCUUAAAAUUGCCCAGUUGGUUUUUUUCUAGAAAUAAUGAGUUGACAAUGCAUUGUUGCAGUAAAAUAUUAAGGGCAUGUUCGGUAUAAUUUUGAAAAUUGAUUUUUUGACCGUUAGGAGAAAAAUGGGAUCCACUCGUUAGAGAAGACGUCAAAAAUUACGGCUGAAAUAGUGAAAUAAAGGUCAAAAAAUCAAUUUUUUGGGGCAAAAAAUUACUCUCAAACGGGGCCUAAAUAGAAUGAAAACAUAGUGCAUUGUGAUCGGGACGUUUAACUUCUUCUUGUGCAUUCUGUCAUGAAGUGAAACGUUCAGAAGUUCUUUCCCAAACUAAGCAAUUCUAAAUGUUAUAUUGCAAAUUUCUAUUACAUGGCCUGUCUUAUCCUUAUUCUAAGUUCUUUAAGAGGGAGCCUCAAGGCCACACGUGUCACUUAUGUCAUGAAUAGAAGUUGAAAAAUAGAGAAGAUAACCCCUACCCCCCUCCCCUCCCCCCCCUUCCUUCAAUGACUUCAAACUAGAAUAUCUAAUUUGAUGAAUAAAGUAGUACAUAGAGUUGUUCAGUUUUGCUUGAGAUUGAUGUAGAGAACAAAAUUUAGUAGAUGAUAGUAGCUCACUCAAUGUAACUGGGUUUUGAAAUUGUCUUUAGAUUUGAUGGUAGUAAGAUAUGGAAUGCUUUAAUUUUUUCACAACUUUAUCGCAAGUUUGAUUGUGCCCAUUAACUCAAAAUGUUUGCGUCCACCACUGUAUACAUGUCUAAGCAAAGCGUGGUAUCUCAUACCAUCUAAAAGACGCUAUAUACACGAAUUAAAUACUUAUGUAGUCGCUCAUUUUCUUUCAGUUUCACUGCACAAUUUAGCGAGCAUUUCUAGGUGACCAAUUCUUCCUCUGUCUAUUUCACACUGUUAAUGUAAUUGAUUUUUCUUUGAAUUGACUCCUUUUCGUGCAGUUUUAGUGCACAAUUCGGCGAGCUUUUUAAGGUGACCAAUUCUUCCUCUCUCUAAUUCACACCGUUAAUUUGAUUGAACUUUCUUAGCAAAAGAUUUAAAGUUGUAAGUCAAUGAAUAUGAUAUUGAUCCUGCCUUGCAUAAUCAAUUUUGAUAGAUUAUUACUUUUUGUGGUUGGAAUUCUUGAUAAUUUGAUUAUAUUUACUAGAUUUUGAUCAAAACAUUGAGUAAUUUGUAGUGAUUUGAGUUUGAUUGGCGUUUUAUAUACUUCUUUUAACGAAAUAUCAUUGGGUGAUCUCUGUUUAUAGCAGAAAAUUUGGAUUUUCCCACUAAAUUUAUGCUUAACGAAUGACCUUUUAACAAGGUUGAAGGAGUUGAUGAUUUGUUUAUCGAAUUCAGUAUCAUUUUGAUGUUAAAUGGUUUUAAUAUCACAAAACCAGGAGAAACAUUUUAUGUAAAACUAUGCAUUUGUGCUAUACUCUUAAUAUUGGACUAGAUUAAACUUGGAAACUCACUGCAAUUUUUAACACUGGGGAAUGCUCAGCUGUUUGUAAUUUUUCACGCUAUCACAGUUCUCUAGUUGUUUCUGAUCCCCCGGCUAAGAAAAAUUCUACAAGGAAGGAAAAUAAGAAAGUUUUUCUUAUAGUAUUUUCGACUAUCCCAAUGAUCUUCGUUUCAUUGUUUCAUUCAUUCUUGCGAGAGAAUUUCAUGACUAAUAUCUAGUGUUGAAUCCCCAAGAUGCAGUGACUAAUGUUGAAUCCUCCAAUAUCAACUCAGUUACUCACAUGCAUUUUGGGCUUGGGGAUUUUGUUUUAGAAGCCUAGUCAACCAUAAUCUUUGGUAAAAUAGCCUAUAUCAAUACUUUUUGUUCAAGUAGUCUAUAGUCUAUUUGAUUAUAUAUUAAAAGUCUUAAAUACCCUUAAACUGAAAUGACUAAAAUGUCCAAUUUGGAAAUGAAUAUUACCCAAAUCCCCAAAUAUAAAUCCCUAAGUGAAUUAGCGGGUUGGGAUAUGUCAAUUCGGCCAAUCCCCUUCAUUUCUCUUGUUUCGAAGUCCAUUUUCAUCAUAUUAAACCCACAUUCAAAUUCAGCUUUAUUCUUUUUUAUAUGCAUUAUUCUUGCUUACAAUGAAUGAUUGCAUGUUGAAGUUCCCUUUCUUGAACCAAGAACAAAUCAAAUAGUGCAAAUUUUGGAGGUGGGUUAGCAAGAAUCGAUUUCACACAGUUGAAGGUGAGCUUUAUAAAUUGAAAAUUAUCAAUUUGUUGUUAUUUUCUAGUUGUAUACUAUGAGAAAAAUCAAUUGGGUAAUCAAAAUUUGCUGUAAAAUAUCGAAACGGAAUGGCUGUCGUUUUAAUUAGACAAUGGUGGUAUUGAUAUACUUGUUGGCAAAUUAGUUGUUCCCCAUUCUUUUAUAGCAUUUCAUUAUCAUAAAUAAAUUUAAACGGCACAUAUACAUUUUAAACUAUAGAAUGCCGUUUUGCUCUGCUUAAAUCUAUUAUGUAACAAUAUGAGUCACAUUUUGUUUGUUAUUGAAGCUGUGAUUCAUAGUAUUCAGUUUUGACAAUUAAUGGAGUAAUAUAUUAUUAUUUUUUUAUUGAAUUGCAGAUAUGGACUCUGGUGCAAUGAUUGUUAUUUGUUAUUUUGUUAAAUUUGAAAAGAGUGAUGAAGAUGGAUGGAUUUGGAAAUGGAUAGGGAAUGAUGAAGACAUCGCAACAAAUAUUUUUGUAUAAAAAACAAUCUCAUAUGCAGAGUUGUAUAACGAAGUCCGAAAAGCAGUUAAGGUUGAUCCCAAUGUGUAUGACAUCGAGAUGAAAUUUCUCAUUUCCGGCAUGGCAAAAUUAUCAGUUCCGCCAAUAAAGAUUACUUGCAAUAUGGAUGUUAGUUGGUUUCUUUCUUUGCAUGACAAAGUUCCAAUUUGUGGAACCCUUGUAGAAAAGGGUUGUGUUGAUCAACAAGACAUGGAUGUUAAUAUUGUAAAUGUUCGGGAGAAUCAUGAAUACAAUUCAAAUGUUGUUGCAACUAACAAUGCGAUGGACAUGGAUGAAUUGAAUAUGCAAAAUGAUCAGUCCGAUGACAAUUAUAUGCAACUGUUGUCUCCAUG